rnacentral:rRNA from 1 species
UACGGAGGGUGCUAGCGUUGUUCGGAAUCACUGGGCGUAAAGCGCGUGUAGGCGGCCCAUCAAGUCUGAUGUGAAAGCCCGGGGCUCACCCCCGGAAGUGCAUUGGAAACUGUUGGGCUCGAGUCCCGGAGAGGAGGGUGGAAUUCCUGGUGUAGCGGUGAAAUGCGUAGAGAUCGGGAGGAACAUCAGUGGCGAAGGCGGCCAUCUGGGACAACACUGACGCUGAGGCACGAAAGCGUGGGGAGCAAACAGG